AUGCUAAUCUCUUAUUUAAUCUGCUUUCCAAGGAAUCCAACCUGCAACACCAGACAGAGAGGAUUUGGGCAGGAAAAGGAUUUGGGCCCUCUUUUCUGCCAUUCCAAAAUAUUCAUUGUUCUCCAGUUUGAGGUGACUGGCCCAGCAGGAGUGAGAAGAAUUUAUCUUCAGCAUAAACUUCAUUAUUCUACAGUGUUUCUUCAUUUGCCUGAGAGGCUCCAGGUUACGUACAGCUGGGACUGCUGCUACCUGAUUGCAAGAAUUAUAUAAGACCAAGAUAAUGAAGGCUAGAUUUAAAAAACAUAAAGUUUUUGCAGAUUCAUCACCUGAAAAAAUUUUGCAUAUAGAUGUCUUCAUGUGCAUGUAUGUUGAUUUCUGCCUCUCCUAUUCCUCCACGCUAAACAUGUUUAUGCUUGAAGCUGCUUUGUGAAUCCCAAGAAAGCAUUUGAAGAAAAUUAAAAAUCUCUGCCAAAAACUAUAACCAUCACUGAGCUUGGUCAUAAACUUUAAUUGGAAAACUUAU
rnacentral:lncRNA from 1 species